rnacentral:lncRNA from 1 species
UCGAGUAGUUGAAAGAUCGUGCGUCUAGCCGGGGGAACUUAUGCAUGCCAAAAAAAUAUUAAAUUAAAUUAAAUUAGACUUCAUCAUAUCAAAAACCUACUGAAAAAUAUACUUAUAAAUUAAACAUUUUUUUAUCGUUCCAGCUAUUAAUUUUUACAACCAGAAAAUAGUGACAACAUUGAACAAGAACGGCAAACUGGUUUCCCUAGACAAUACGAAUCCAUCAACUAUAAAAAACUAACAUAAAUAAAACACUUUAGACAAUUAAGUUCUUCAUAAUGUAUGAAUGCCAUGUAUGUACAAACACGGGUGGAAAAUUACGCAUGUAAUAUGUUUAAAAUUAAUGCAACUUGGGAGACGAAGAAAAAUAAUAUUUUCAUUUUUGUUAUGUUUCCGCAAUUUGUUCGACAUCACACAACAAAGGAAAACGCAGCAUUUAAUUGUUAUUUAUGCGGCAUGUAAUUAACAAAAUAGAAGAUUAAUUUUUACUUUAUGAAUUUCUUUUUGGAAUAGAGAAAUUGAACGGUUCUAUAAAAUAAUACACAUUUUCAUCUAACAUCGUAUUUCCGUUCACGAUCACAACCGCAACACACGGUGGUGCUGUGGUGGUUUCACAUAUAGGGUGUUUGUCAGGGAUGUGGCUGAUGUUUAUCCACAUCCCAAUCACUGAAUUUUAUUACAUUUAUGCUACUUUCAAAAUUUUCAUUUCACCCCCUCGAUUCUUAUUUUUAAUUACAUUUUAGUUCUUGAUUGUUACAUGUAACCUUCAAGUUACUUAAUAUUAAAAUUUAGAUUUUACAUAACUAUAAUUAUAUUUAAUAUAUUUUGUAAAUGUUUUUCGCUACGGUAUGUAGCUCUGUAACGAAAUAGUUAAAGAUUUUCACUUCAUAGCAAAAUAACUAUGAAAUCUGGUAGUAGAAUAGAUACGCUACAAAAUUACAUUUCGUAGUAACAACCUACGAGUUUAACCCAAUAGAAUAGCAACGAAAUUUCAUUUCUUAGAAAAUAAAAAAACGAAAUAUAGUUUUGUGACAAAAUGUCAUAGCGAAAUAUCUACGGAAUAUAAUUUGGUAGCAAAAUAGCUACAAAGUUCUAUUGCGUAACAAAAUUCAGUAGGAUAAAUGCUACGGAGUUUUAUUCCAUAGCAAAGUAGUUACUCCAUUUAGUUCUAUAGAAAUUUAUGUAACAAGAUAGCUACGUAUUUUUAACCUUAGCAAAAUAGUUACGGAAUUCAGUUCGGUAGCAAAUUUCAUAGCAUAAUAGCUAUGGAAUUUAAUUUCGUAGUAAAACAGCUACGAAAUUAGUUUCCGUAAAAAAAUUAUGUGGCAUAAUAGCUACGAAAUAUCAUUGUGUAGCAUAAUAGCUACACAAAUUAGUUUCGUAGUAAUUUCCAUAGGAAAAUAGCUAGAUAUUUAGCAAAUUCGGUAGCCGACUAACUACAAAUUCUAAUUCCGUAACAAUUUUCCAUAAUUAGUUUGAAGUUUGCUACAAAAUUUUAUUUCGUAGUAAAUUUCGUAACAAAAAAGCUACGGAACAUCAUUCAGUAGCAUAAUCCAUCGCAAAAUAACUACGAAAUUUGAUUCCGUAGCCAGUGGCGGUCGGUAAUANAUUUAUAUAGAUUUUCAUUAUAUAAAUUCCAGUGAUGUUCAUAUGUUCUACUUUGGGCCCCUGUUUUUAGCACAUUUAAUAAAAUUUAAUAAUCAACAGAUCAAAUCAUCCACUGAUAAAUAGGAAAAAAAAUCACUUAUAAAACUAAUUGAUAGAAUCAAAAUAAUCUGUAGAACAUUAGGAAACUAAUUAAAUUAAGAAAUUAUCUCUAAACUCUAUAAAACGAAAUCAAAUUCGAAUCAAAGGUACACAUUCUUUAACUCAAGAUUUGAGUGUAAGGAAACAAUAAACACCUAGAAAUUUUGAAGCCGAAAUCGUCCAAAUCUCACUGUUGUCGCCGGUCCCCCAACUACAUCUCCCCCGCCGGUCUCUGUCUCUGCUCGCCGUACCACCGCUUCUCCGUCGCCGCACUUUUGCUUAUUUGCAUCGAUCUCUUUUCUUCGUCGUACACAACUCUCCCUCUCCGAUCUGCUCACAACAAGAGUAAUUUACCGGUGCUUUUCUUCUCUUUCUCUCGCUAUUCUUCUCUUUCUCUCUCUAACCCACUUAAACACUUUCUCUUUCUCUCUUUGUGGUUUAGAUUUUAGAUAAUGAAAGGAACGACGGAGUAAAAUAUAAGGGAUAUAGUACAUAUUUUACUGUUUACUUUAUCAAUGAUCACAUAAAUUAUAAUUU